CACACACUCUUCAAUCUAAGAAAUAUGCGGUGAGUGCCUACCAUGUGCCUGUCAUCAGGAUAACUGUUGAAUUUAAAAGAUGCAUGAAAAUCUCUGUGCUGAAGAUGUUUACAGCCUUGUGGGAACAUAAGACUUCACAUAAAUAACUACGGAAAUUAAAAGAGGGGAACUGCCUGCCAUGUUGGAAGCUCCCUGUGGAGAGGUCCAUGUGGGGAAGGACCUGAUGUCUCCACUCAACAGUUGGCAAGGACUGAGGCUGCCAACCACCCUGGGAGGGAGGCCAGAAGUGGAUCUGGGCCCAGUAGAGCCACGAGAUGACCACAGCCCCAAUCCACACCCAGACUAUAGCCUUGCGAGAACCAGAGGUGCCAUCCAGGCUGUGCCCAGAUCCCCAACCCAUGGAAGCCAUAAGAGUUCGUGGAUUGGCUUCCCCACCUCCCACUGACCAAACCUGAGUAAAGCAAAAACUCCACAACUGGCUGUCAUGAAACAACAGUCACCAGAUGCCUACCUGUUUAGUGGGAGGGCAGGAAUGCAAACAGGUUUUGAGGGAAAUGGCAACAGUGAAAGGAUUUAUAUGCAGGGGAGGGCUUCAUCCAGGUGAACCUCCCCCAGGGCAGCCCUUGCCUUAUUCUCUAUCUAAGCUCUCCAACCCAUACAGCCUCUAUUGUGUGUAUGAAGGUUGCAUCUGGACUCAAUGCACUCACUUCCACUUCUACAGAGCGGCAUCCCAGCAACGGGACAACUCACCUGCUUUUUUCCUUGGGAGACUCUAGCCUUUCUAGUUCCCUUCAUUGGGGGCAGAGGCCAAGGCUCAGCCUGUGGUGCUCUUGCCCUUACUGUGUUUGAAAAGCAAUGAUUCCAUUUCCUGCAACUUUGUAGUAAAAUGUUUUGGCUGUGUUGCA